UACACAACUCCAUGGAGCUCUUUCUCUCUGGCUCAGAGACAAAGGCUGCUGUGCCUGCUGUGAUUGGUCAAAAGUUGGGAGGAAAACCACUGUUCUCCUUAUUGUUGUCAAAUAUGACAACAAUGUAUUUGUAUCAAUGAAGACAAAAAUAAAAUGUGUCCUUUUGAAAAGGUAUUUUAUGAGUCCUUUUUCUUUUAUCAUCUGCUUUGUUUACUCGCAUAUCAAACAGUAGCUGAGAUCAAUUCUGGAAAUUAUCAUUAGACCAACUUAAUAUUAAUACUUUAUUCAGGUUAUUGUUUAGGAUCUUAGUAAAUGCUUUGAGCUCAGUCAGAUAUUAGCAGGUCAGACUUGUUAUUUUCUAUUUAGGUAUUUUAAAACGAAGAUAGAUGAAAAACAAAUUUGGUGUUUGGGUUUAGACCAAUAAAAAAGGUGACAUGUGACAGACUCAGAGACCAAUUUCAUUUAAUGCUUAAGAGUUUAAUGAUGAAGAUAAUAAGAACAGAAAUGAAUAGUUUUUGUUAUUAAAAGAGACAGUCCGGUCGACUCCAGUUUGUGUCACUUGUUGCUUCAUUCUUUAUGCAGCAAUACAGCAAAAGAAAAUAAGUAAA